rnacentral:rRNA from 1 species
UUUAAAGUCUGACCUGCCCAAUGAGGAGUUGAAUGGCCGCGGUAAUUUGACCGUGCAAAGGUAGCAUAAUCAUUAGUUUUUUAAUUGGAAGCUGGUAUGAAUGGUUGGACGAGGGGGCUACUGUCUCAAUUUAAUUGAAUUAGAAUUUUAUCUUUAAGUUAAAAAGCUUAAAUGUAUUUAAAAGACGAGAAGACCCUAUAGAGUUUUACAUAAUUUGUUAUUUAGUAGGUUUAGUAUAUAUAAUCUUAUAUAAUGAUUUAUGUUUUGUUGGGGUGACAGGAAAAUUAGUUUAACUUUUUCUUUUUUUUAUCAUUAAUGUAUGGGUGUAUGAUCCGUUGAUAGCGAUUAUAAGAUCAAAUUACCUUAGGGAUAACAGCGUAAUUUUUUUUGAGAGUUCAAAUCGAAAAAAGAGUUUGCGACCUCGAUGUUGGAUUAAAAUUAAUUUUUGGUGCAGAAGCUGAAAUAUUAGGUCUGUUCGACCUUUGAAAUUUUACAUGAUCUGAGUUUAAACCGGCGUGAGCCAGGUUGGUUUCUAUCUUUAAACUAUAGGAGUGUUUUAGUACGAAAGGACCAAGCAUUUGUAAUAUAUAUUAGUAUAGAAUUUUAUUAAUUUG